rnacentral:lncRNA from 1 species
AUUGACAAAUUAAGAUCAUGAUUAGAAUAAAAAAUAAAUCUCAAUCCAUAAAAUUUUCUUGUAAGAAAUGCCAAAUCAUUAUUAUCAUCACUUUGGGCUUGAUACCAGAAUAAUAAAUUUUCAAAUUAUCAUUACUUGGGUAUGCAUGAUACCAAAACAUAGUUUCAAGUCAUCAAGGUAUAACAUGCACAAUUUCAAAC